rnacentral:rRNA from 1 species
UGAGCAAUCUGCCCUCCUCUUUGGAAUAAGCGUUGGAAACGACGUCUAAUGCCGAAUACGACCUCCUUUCGCAUGAUCGGAGGUGGAAAGCUCCGGCGGAGAAGGAUGAGCUCGCGGCCUAUCAGCUUGUUGGUGAGGUAAUGGCUCACCAAGGCGACGACGGGUAGCCGGCCUGAGGAGGGUCGACCCGGCCACACGUGGGACUGACGACACCGGCCCAGACCUCCGUACGGGGAGCA